rnacentral:tRNA from 1 species
CGCGAAGUAGAGCAGUGGUUAGCUCAUCGGGCUCAUAACCCGAAGGUCGGGAGUUCAAAUCUCCCCUUCGCAACCA